UUCAUUUCUUUCUUCUCCAUUUAUUUUUUUAUUUUUAAUUAAGUUCGCCACUUAUUUAAUUCCUGUCUGAGUAUUUUUCAAUAAAACAUUGAUGCAGAGGUUAUCAUUUGUUGUUAAAAUGGAGAGAUUAUCUGUAAUGGUAAGCUUCUUUAUUGUCAUGACCAGCUGUUCUGAAUGCUUUCCACAUGAGAGAGAUGCCCUUGUCGCUUUCAAGGUUGAGUAUUAUAUGCCAAGUAGAAAGGCUUGAGUUACUGUUCGAGACAUCUUUCCUUUUUUAAGUGCUAAGAUGCUGCCGUGAUGCACGUCUCUCUAAAUCCCCGCUUUCAAAGAAUUAAUAAUUCUGGGUUUGGCCCCACAAUGUUCUCUUUCGUCCUCCUCAAUUAUGUAGUGCACAGAUAUAAAUCCUUUGCUAUUGCUGUAUCCCUUUAUCAAAUCCAGCCCUUUCUGCUUUAGGACGUUUCAUACAUUUUGCAGGUCUAGUCCUGCGUUCAUGGCUUCAUCCUCGUCCUAUCCUCAGGCAAGAUCGAUUGUAUGUGCUAAACUGUAUGAUGUAUUCAUCAGUCAUCGAGGUCCUGACGUCAAAGAAACCCUUGCUAAACAACUCUAUGACCUUCUUAAGGCAUUUUUAGACCCCGAAGAGAUCGAAGGGGGAGGUUCUAUUACGUCUGCCAUUCACAACGCCAUAUGCUCAUCUCGUGUGCAAAUAGCCAUUUUUUCAAAAAGAUAUGCGAAGUCCUCAUGGUGUUUAGACGAGAGCUGGUUCUUAUGUUACAAGAAACUGAUGCUCUCUUUAUUCCUGUCUUCUACCAUGUCCAGCCGUGGGAGCUACGCCACAUUGACAACAAGUCACAGUAUGCUGUGGCAUUUUCUGACUAUCAAAGAAAAGGCAGAAAUCUUGAUAGGUUGAAUGGAUGGAAAGAGGCCCUCGCAUCUGCUGCAGACAUAUUUGGUUAUGAACUUAGCCGGCAUGAAGACAAUUUGUGUGAAAAAAUUGUCUCGUGUGAUACAAGUAGUGCAAGAAAAGAAAAACAGUAUAGCAUUAGAUGUUGCUAAAUAUCCGGUUGGACUUGCUGAACUCGUCCAAGAUUUUGAAAGGUGUUGUUCAAAGAGGGCUAGGGACAAGGUCAUCAUAAUAGGGAUUUUUGGUCUAGGGGGUUUUGGCAAGUCUACCCUGGCAAAAGAAUUGUUUAACAGGAAGAGUUUAGCUAUCAUACAUCAUGUUUUCUCUCUGAUGUGAGAGAAUCAUAUGCCAGAGGUGAAUUACACUGCUUGCAAAGUCAGUUCUAAGAAGAUCUUUUCCCUCAAGAUCAAGAGAUUAAAAGUCUAAAGAUGGAAAGCUGAAGAAUCAUCUGGGAAGGGCAAGGCAUUUGCAUUUCGUUAUAAUCCUAGAUGAUAUAGAUCAUGAUGAGGACCAGUUAGAUGCCCUUUUACCUGAAGAUUUGCUGAGCUCUGGUAGCCUUGUAAUCAUGACAACCCAUGACCAGAGUGUCUUAAGCGGUACAGAUUUCCGUUAUAAGAUAAAGGGAAUGGAUAAGGAUCGUGCUCAACUUCUCUUCUGUAGACAUGCUUUUCGUGGACAGGGUCCAUCCAUUUCAUAAGAAAAAUUGGUUGAGAACUUCGUGGAAUUCUGUGGAGGUUUACCUCUCUCGCUUAAAGUUCUGGGCACCCAUGUUUAUCGAAGAGAUAAACAUUAUUGGUAGUUAGAAUUGGAAAAGGUUAAGAAAAUCCAGCAGAAAGAUAUAAUGCAAAGACUUAAAAUUAGCUUUGAUGGUCUGGACAGAGCGGAGAAACAGAUAUUUAUAGGUAUAACUUCUUUCUUCAAUAAGAAAGAACAACUUCAUUUGAAAAGUGAUGCUAUAACAAUCUGGAAAGCAUCUGGUUGGAGUGCUGAACAUGCAGUACAAUACCUGCAAGAAAGUGCCUACUUGAACUGGUCAUGGGGCAACAGUAACACUACCUACGCUUUGAAAUGCAAGAUCAACUCUGCGAUCUUGGAAGACAAAUGGCAGACUUGGGCCCUCCUCGGUUUUGGAGACCAGAAAUUCUUAGAUCUAUGGUGUCCCUGUUCGAUUGUAUUUUCCACUGCUUUGAAAUGCACGAUCUGGAAGGGCAAAUGGCAGAUGACUUGGGCCCUCAGCUGUGGAGAUCAGACAUUCGUAGAUCUAUGUGAUCCUUAUAUGUAGGAAGCAAACGGAUUUGAACAAAUCCUGGCAGAAACAAAGGGCAGGUGUUUCAAUUCGUUCAAGGAUUCGUCCCUCCAGAGUCCAAACCAUAAUUACUUAUUUUAUAGGUAGUUCAAAUGACUCCGCUGAGACUGACCUCCUGUGUCUUGACAUAGAUAACCGUGGUUACCUUGGUUGCGAAUUAGAAAACAUUCCUUCCUGGAUUCCUCUACGAAAAUUGCACAAUUUAUCUGUUAACAGCGUGGGAAAUUUGUGGGGCACUUUUCAGAAACGGUUGCAGAUCAAUACCCAGGCCAGUUUUGAGUUGAGAGUGCUGAAGAUUUGCUACUCUCCGUCUUUGGAAAAGCUUCCAGAUUUAAUAGCAAUGUUCAAUUCAUGCGAUCACUUAAACAACUUAGCUAUCUUGGAUCAUUGUGAUUGUGGUUUGGGGAGGGUGUCUUCUUCAGUGGGAAUUUGGAUCUUAGCAAAGGUACAGAUUCAACUAAUUUGGAUUCUUCUCAAGCAACCGGAUGAAUAGCCUUGAAACCAUAGAAUUAAACAGAUUGGAUAAUAUAUCAAAGUUGCUAAUUAGUGGAGAGGUUUGUCCCAGACUUCAAUCAUUGAAAGUUCUACACAUGUGGAAUCUAAAAGAAAUGCACUUAGAGCAGCUAGAGAGACUGAAUACUCUUGACAUGUGGAAAUGCCCCAAAUUGGAAACAAUAUCAGGUUUAUCUUCUCUAACAGGGCUCCAGGUUCUUAAAGUGGAGUAUUGUUUCAAAUUAGAUACACUAUCAUUGUAAUCUUAUGUAACAGGGCUUCAGUCUCUUAAAAGUGUUGGAAAGUCUCCAACUGGAACAAAUAUCAGAGUUAUCUUCUCUAAUAGGACUUCAGUCUCUUAAAGUGUUGGAAAGUCUCCAACUAGAACAAAUAUCAGAGUUAUCUUCUCUAAUAGGACUUCAGUCUCUUAAAGUGUUGGAAAGUCUCCAACUAGAACAAAUAUCAGAGUUAUCUUCUCUAAUAGGACUUCAGUCUCUUAAAGUUUUGGGAUGUGACUGUAAAACAAUAUCAGGGUUAUCUUCUCCAACAGGGCUUCAGUCUCUUGAAUUGUCCAUAUUUCUGAAAUUGGAAACAUUAUCAGGGUUAAUAACCAGGUGCUUCAGUCUCUCACAGUGAAAAACUGUCCUGAAUUGGAAACAAUAUCAGAGUUGUCUUCUCUAGCAGGGCCCUAAGUCUCUUAAAAGUGUCGAGCUGUCCCAAACUGAAAACAAUAUCGGGCUUUUCUUCUCUAGCAGGGCUUCAAAUGUUAAGGGUUGAAAUUCAGGAUUUUAUUAGGAUGUGACCAGCUGCAGAGCAUAUGUGGGGUGCUGGAGCGGGGUGUGGAAGAGAGUCGCCACAAUUGGAAAGCGUGGAAAUUGAAGUUCCUGAUGAUAGAUAUGCAUGGGUUCGGAAUUUCAUUGAAGGACCGAGGCCGCUAUGAGGGUAUGCCGUUUUAACAGGGAUGCCAGUGGAUACAGCACUGAUCGAGUUGAAUGAAAAUUUGUUUUCUGAAGUGGAUACAGGGAUGCCAGUGGAUACAGCACUGUUCGAGUUGAAUGAAAAUUUGUUUUCUGAAGUGGAUACAGUCAUUCAGAUUGAGAAAGGAGAGCAUUCGCUAGAAAUGGAAAGCUCAUCAAGUGCAAUCUCUAUAAAUGCUUUCCUUGUAAGGUCUGGUAGCAAUCCUUACAAAAAAUUCAAUCUGUAAUUUACCCAUUUGCAAUCCUUCCCACUUCGAAAGGAAUUGAUGAUUACAAUUUUACAAACCCCGCAUAGAAGUAAUGAUGUAAAGCUAACAAGUGUCCCAAUAGAGGUGGAUGAAGGGGAAGAAGGGAAAGCUUUAGUUAUAAUGCAAAGAAUUAUUGACAGAUUAUAUAAAAGUUAGCAGCAUAUGAGGGGCUGAAGAAAAAAAAACAAAGUAAAAGUAUUGAAAGUGUGAUUUGCUUUGAUUGCCAGCUGUUGAAAAGCUUUGGUCAUCUUUGUUUUAUCCAUUUCUAAUAUUUUAUGUAUGGAAUUUUCUUCUGCACUCAAUUUUUAGAAAAAUCUUGUCUUA